CGAUGUGGUGAUGGCACGUUGAAUGUACCAGUUCUCUAUGGAUCACUGAAGUUAAGCAUCGUUGCGCAAGGUUAGUAUUCGGAUGGGUGACCAAUUGGGCAAUUGCGUUCUGCUGGC
rnacentral:rRNA from 1 species